UUUUUUUUCACGUAGGUGUACAAUGUGAGCAAGGAAAAAGCAAAUUUAGGGCAAUGACCAGAUUGAGGCCCAUAUCUACACUUAUGCUCCAGAACAGAAGGAUCACUCUGAAUCCAGAAAAGAAGAAGACACACAAACUAUAGUCCUCGCCAUCCUAAUUGACCGACAGUUUUCUUUUCUUACCCAAAAAGGGAAGGUCUACACUCCUUAGACCACACUUUGUGGGGAAUAAUUG
rnacentral:lncRNA from 1 species